UGACGACAUCAUAGACUCAAUAUGAAGGAAUUCAAAUCUAAAUCAAAUUAUUUUUCCCUCCACCCGUGAAGCGUGUAGAGAGAAAAAAAGGGGGCACUGUGGGGACCAAAAUCCACAUAGCAUGACGUAGCUCUGUGGAGACCAAAUCCCACGUAGCAUGACCUAACCCGUAUGCCAUAAUUAAAAGACGUGGAGCGGUCGAGCUGCCCUCCCACCAAAGAAGUGCGGAGGGUGGAAUGAUCGGGGAGUGGAGGAUGGGAUGCGCAAAGCUAGGGAGGUGGAGCUAAACCCAAAGGGCUCUGAGCGCUGUAAAAUCCUAACCAUACCUCCAGCAAAGGUACGAGAAAUUCAAUUGAGCACUAAGAGUUCGCUGCAAAACACUGUCUUGAGCGUCAGAGUGGCUUUUGCAGGUACUCACCCCAUUUCCAUCGUUCAUUCUCGGAAACGCGAUCCGUAGUUCUUUUCAACCAAGGAAGUGUGCGGACUGGAGUCAAGAACCUGUGGAAGUAUUUCUUCAUGAAAGAAAUCUUGCUCCAACACCUCUUAAUAUCUGCAUAGGAAUAUCUACUUGGUUUGAAGACUUUGUAAUCCUCUAGAAAUCUUUCAAAUUUUAAUCGAUUAUCGUUUUCCUUUAUAUCAUAUCUAUAGACCUGAUAGACUGCAACAACCAGUAGUAAGAGGACGAAUGAACCCAUGGUUGCACCUACAAAAUAAUCAUUAAAAAGUAAAUAUAUACCCCGGUCUUCUAGACAUGUCACAGCAAAAUAAUCAGUUAGGUGACUCACUGGUUGCCGCUAAUUUCGUUGCUGCACCUGUAAAAGAUAAUGACAUAAAGCAGAUCGUCAUGUUCGUGAAAUUCAUUUAUACAUAUUGCCUCCUGGGCAACAUUCCCUGAAUAAUUGCCGGCACUUUACAAGAUGUGUAAAAAUUUGAGCAGGAAAUAUGUGAAGCAAAAUAUGUACUAUUGCCUUACUUGCUUUCUUCAGGUCAACACAUUCAAUUUCAACUCGGGUGCCAUUGUUCUUCAGCAUACACUUCUUACCUCCUGCUUCACAUUUUGUGCAAUUUGGUGUAGACCAUCUCAAAACACUAAGAGAUCUGUCUAAAUCAAAAACUGGAACUGAUAAAACAUUAUGCAUCUUUGUGCAAGGCUGGAGGUUAUCAAUUUCGUAGUCAUCAUAAACGACAUAGAUUUGAUUGCCAAGGUUGCUGAGGCAGGGGCCAUUUAGAACCUGAUAAUUAUAUGGCCAUCUUUCAAGAACAGAAGAACAAUUGAAUAAGAGAGUUUGACUGGAAUUGGCUGCUCAAGAACCGUAUGAUGUCUCUCAUUGCAAGACACAGCAAACCCAGGAUAGCCACAGUGAUCUGGUUGCCUAUCUGAGGCUGAAAG